UGACUGGGAUCAAAUGCAGGGCGAAAACUUCCAAGUCAGGGAAAGAGACAGAAUUAUGUGAAGAGUCAUCAAUGGCGAGGAUCAAAUGCAGUGCAGAAACUUCCACAUCAGGGAAAGAGACAUUUCGCCAUGAAGUACACAGUGCUGUUAUUUCCAGUUUGCAUUCUUGCGAUGAUUGUAGUGGUCCUAUGUUAAGUAGAAAAUGAAGACUUCAACUUGCAAAUACACCAAAUCAAGGAAAGUUAUGAUAAAAUUAUGGAGCACACUGAAGUGGAUGCAGUCAUGGAACAUUUUAAAAGGACACCUCACCACAAAAGCAGAGCGUGAUCAAUGCAAGAUAGCAGAAGACAAAGUUUUUUUCCCUCUCCGCUGUCGCGACCAGCUUGCAUGGCUUGGGAUCGGUAGAGCUACACAUCGAUG